rnacentral:rRNA from 1 species
GAUGAACGCUGGCGGCGUGCCUAAUACAUGCAAGUCGAGCGAACAGACGAGGAGCUUGCUCCUCUGACGUUAGCGGCGGACGGGUGAGUAACACGUGGAUAACCUACCUAUAAGACUGGGAGAACUUCGGGAAACCGGAGCUAAUACCAGAUAAUAUAUUGAACCCCAUGGUUCAAUAUUGAAAGACGGUUUUGCUGUCACUUAUAUAUGGAUCCGCGCCGCAUUAGCUAGUUGGUAAGGUAACGGCUUACCAAGGCAACGAUGCGUAGCCGAAGUGAGAGGGUGAUGGGCCACACUGGAACUGAGACACGGUCCAGACUCCUACGGGAGGCAGCAGUAGGGAAUCGUCCGAAAUGGGAGAAAGCCUGACGGAGCAACGCCGCGUGAGUGAUGAAGGUCUUCGGAUCGUAAAACUCUGUUAUUAGGGAAGAACAAAUGUGUAAGUAACUAUGCACGUCUUGACGGUACCUAAUCAGAAAGCCACGGCUAACUACGUG